CAGCAGCCGCGGGAAUACGUAGGGUGCAAGCGUUAAUCGGAAUUAUUGGGCGUAAAGGGCUCGCAGGCGGUUUCUUAAGUCUGAUGUGAAAGCCCCCGGCUCAACCGGGGAGGGUCAUUGGAAACUGGGAAACUUGAGUGCAGAAGAGGAGAGUGGAAUUCCACGUGUAGCGGUGAAAUGCGUAGAGAUGUGGAGGAACACCAGUGGCGAAGGCGACUCUCUGGUCUGUAACUGACGCUGAGGAGCGAAAGCGUGGGGAGCGGACAGGAUUAGAUACCCCAGUAGUCCCUGUCUCUUAUAA
rnacentral:rRNA from 1 species